rnacentral:rRNA from 1 species
UUGAAAGGGAAACGAUUGAAGUCAGUCGUACCAACGGGAAAUCAACCUUUUGAGCUUGGUCUCGUGGGUUUUGAAGAGUUUCAAAGCCUUCGGAUUCGCGGGAUUGGGAUCUCUUGGUGUACUUUUUCGUACGGUUAGUCAACAUCGGUUUUGAAUGUCAUAAAAUGACUGGAGGAAUGUAGCUUCGAUCUCGUAUUGAAGUGUUAUAGCCUUUGGUAGAUGUGAUGUUUGAGACCGAGGAUUGCAACGGAUACCCUUCAGGGCUAUUCGUCUGAUCUCUGAUACGUUGCCUUGAUGUUGAAAGCUUGCUUAUGAUGUUAGGGUAUUACGGUCAAAAGGUUAGAACGAAUUACAUUCGUUAAGGAUGUUGACGUA